GCAAGCUGAAAACACCUGAAAAGGGCACAGGAAAGCAAAAAGGCCUCUGAGCAACCAGCCUGAAUUCUCCACUGCAGUGAAGCUUAUGUAUUUUUUUUUUUAAGAAAUCAGUUUUCCCAAGCAUUGAAUGAUUUCAGGAAGGAUUCCUGAGGCCCCAUCUGAUGCUAAGUCACUAUCCCAGCACUAUGGCUCUGCUUGUUUGUUUGGUUUGCCAUGUCUGUUGUUAAUUUAAACCACCAGGAGGGCAGGGACAGCUCUCUUUUGUUUUCAUGGCAUGCGUUCACUGGAAAAUAAUCUCUCCAAUGUAGAAUCCUGCUCAUGAAAAUUCUCAAGACACGAGAGGUCAAGAGUGAGAGAAAAGUACAAAAUGUUCACUGUCUUCUAUGGCGAUUCUUCUUGUGAACAUAUGGGUAUAAUCGUGGCUCAGUAAAAGAUGUGCUCAAAUUA